AUGAACGCUAGCGACAGGCCUAACACAUGCAAGUCGAGGGGCAGCACAAGGAGCAAUCUGAGGUGGCGACCGGCGCACGGGUGAGUAACACGUAUGCAACCUGCCUGUAAGCGGGGAAUAACCCGUUGAAGGACGGACUAAUACCGCAUAAUACUAAAUUACUGCAUGGUAAUUUAUUUAAACAUUUAUGGCUUACAGAUGGGCAUGCGCAUGAUUAGCUAGUUGGAGAGGUAACGGCUCCCCAAGGCAACGAUCAUUAGGGGUUCUGAGAGGAAGGUCCCCCACACUGGUACUGAGACACGGACCAGACUCCUACGGGAGGCAGCAGUGAGGAAUAUUGGUCAAUGGACGAGAGUCUGAACCAGCCAAGUCGCGUGCAGGAAGAAUGUCCCUAUGGAUUGUAAACUGCUUUUGCAGGGGAAUAAAGUGCAUCACGUGUGAUGUUUUGUAUGUACUCUGCGAAUAAGGAUCGGCUAACUCCGUGCCAGCCGCCGC
rnacentral:rRNA from 1 species